rnacentral:rRNA from 1 species
GUGGGGAAUCUUGCGCAAUGGGCGAAAGCCUGACGCAGCCAUGCCGCGUGAAUGAUGAAGGUCUUAGGAUUGUAAAAUUCUUUCACCGGGGACGAUAAUGACGGUACCCGGAGAAGAAGCCCCGGCUAACUUCGUGCCAGCAGCCGCGGUAAUACGAAGGGGGCUAGCGUUGCUCGGAAUUACUGGGCGUAAAGGGCGCGUAGGCGGACAGUUUAGUCAGAGGUGAAAGCCCAGGGCUCAACCUUGGAAUUGCCUUUGAUACUGGCUGUCUUGAGUACGGGAGAGGUGAGUGGAACUCCGAGUGUAGAGGUGAAAUUCGUAGAUAUUCGGAAGAACACCAGUGGCGAAGGCGACUCACUGGCCCGUUACUGACGCUGAGGCGCGAAAGCGUGGGGAGCAAACAGGAUUAGAAACCCUUGUGUCC